UAGGGAAUCUUCGGCAAUGGACGGAAGUCUGACCGAGCAACGCCGCGUGAGUGAAGAAGGUUUUCGGAUCGGAAAGCUCUGUUGUUAGAGAAGAACGUUGGUAGGAGUGGAAAAUCUACCAAGUGACGGUAACUAACCAGAAAGGGACGGCUAACUACGUGCCAGCAGCCGCGGUAAUACGUAGGUCCCGAGCGUUGUCCGGAUUUAUUGGGCGUAAAGCGAGCGCAGGCGGUUCUUUAAGUCUGAAGUUAAAGGCAGUGGCUUAACCAUUGUACGCUUUGGAAACUGGAGGACUUGAGUGCAGAAGGGGAGAGUAGAAUUCCAUGUGUAGCGGUAAAAUGCGUAGUUAUAUGGAGGAACACCGGUGGCGAAAGCGGCUCUCUGGUCUGUAACUGACGCUGAGGCUCGAAAGCGUGGGGAGCAAACAGG
rnacentral:rRNA from 1 species